rnacentral:rRNA from 1 species
CAACAGGGANUGCCUUAGUAACUGCGAGAGAAGCGGCAAAAGCUCAAAUUUGAAAUCUGACGUUUUUGACGUUCGAAUUGUAAUUUGGAGGGAUAUCUUCGGAGCUGGCGCUGUUCUAAGUUCUUUGGAACCAGACAUCAAAGAGGGUGAGAAUCCCGUGCCUGAACGGCUGUCCCGCUCCAUGUGAAGUGUCUCCGACGAGUCGAGUUGUUUGGGAAUGCAGCUCAAAAUGGGUGGUAAAUUUCAUCUAAAGCUAAAUAUUGGCGAGAGACCGAUAGCGCACAAGUAGAGUGAUCGAAAGAUGAAAAGCACUUUGAAAAGAGAGUUAAACAGUACGUGAAAUUGUUGAAAGGGAAGCGCUUGAGACUAGAUUCGACCGGCGGUCAUCAGCUGCGUUUUUACGUGGUGCACUUGCCGUCGGUUGAACCAGCAUCGGUUUCGAUGGCAGGAUAAAGGUUUCAGGAAUGUGGCNCCUCAAUUUCGAGGAGUGUUAUAGCCUGGAGCGCAAUGCUGCCUGUUGGGACCCGAGGACCGCGCUUNUGCUAGGAUGCUGGCUAAAAGUCU